rnacentral:rRNA from 1 species
GACGAACGCUGGCGGCGUGCUUAACACAUGCAAGUCGAACGGAAAGGCCCUGCUUUUGUGGGGUGCUCGAGUGGCGAACGGGUGAGUAACACGUGAGUAACCUGCCCUUGACUUUGGGAUAACUUCAGGAAACUGGGGCUAAUACCGGAUAGGAGCUCCUGCUGCAUGGUGGGGGUUGGAAAGUUUCGGCGGUUGGGGAUGGACUCGCGGCUUAUCAGCUUGUUGGUGGGGUAGUGGCUUACCAAGGCUUUGACGGGUAGCCGGCCUGAGAGGGUGACCGGCCACAUGGGGACUGAGAUACGGCCCAGACUCCUACGGGGGGCAGCAGUGGGGAAUAUGGCAAAAGGGGCGGAAGCCUGAUGCAGCAACGCCGGGGGGGGGAGGACGGCCUUCGGGUUGUAAACCGCUUUCGCCUGUGACGAAGCGUGGGUGACGGUAAUGGGUAAAGAAGCACCGGCUAACUACGU